GUCAUGAAGGCUGGAAAAGCACUCUAAGGUCACAGAUCCUGACCAUUAACCCAGCACUGCCAGGCCCAGCACUAAAACAUGUUGUUUGUGCCACAUCUCCACGAUUUUCGAACACUUCCAGCCGUGGUGAUUCCAUCACUUCCUUGGGCAGCACGUUCCUGCCCCUUCCAGUGUAGAAUUUUUCCUAAUAACCAAAGGAAAGCUCUGCUGGCGUAACUCGAGGCUGUCCAAAGGAGAAAAUUCUCAAUGAUUAUACCAUGAUUCUUGGUGAACCAAGAAAAAAAAUAAAAUACCAAGAGCUGGCAGCCAGAGUGUUGAAUGAGCUAAACUCCUGAUGAAGAUUUUGGGGAUUUAAGUGAAGAAAUAUUAAGGAUUUGAGCACCAUUGUGGCCAUUUGGAUUUGAGCUUCCAUAUUUUGCUGUGCUCAGUUCCACAGAUCCAGCACCUGCACAACAUCUGGGCCUUCAUCUCUAGUGUGGUGUGGCCAGGAUAAGGGGGAAGAGCAGGUAGAACCCAUCAAGAUGAGGUAUGAAGAAAUAAAGACAUGAAAAGGCAGUGCAACC